rnacentral:rRNA from 1 species
GAACGCUGGCGGCGCGCUUAACACAUGCAAGUCGAACGGAAAGAGAUGAAAGAGCUCGCUCUUUUAUUAAUUUCAGUGGCAAACGGGUGAGUAACACGUAAACAACCUGCCUUAAGGAUGGGGAUAACAGACGGAAACGACUGCUAAUACCGAAUACGUUCUAAGCAUCGCAUGGUGCAUAGAAGAAAGGGUGGCCUCUACAAGAAAGCUAUCGCCUUAAGAGGGGUUUGCGACUGAUUAGGUAGUUGGUGAGGUAACGGCUCACCAAGCCGACGAUCAGUAGCCGGUCUGAGAGGAUGAACGGCCACACUGGAACUGAGACACGGUCCAGACUCCUACGGGAGGCAGCAGUGGGGAAUCUUCCGCAAUGGACGAAAGUCUGACGGAGCAACGCCGCGUGAACGAAGAAGGUCUUCGGAUUGUAAAGUUCUGUGAUUCGGGACGAAAGGGUUUGUGGUGAAUAAUCAUAGACAUUGACGGUACCGAAAAAGCAAGCCACGGCUAACUACGUGCCAGCAGCCGCGGUAAUACGUAGGUGGCAAGCGUUGUCCGGAAUUAUUGGGCGUAAAGCGCGCGCAGGCGGUUUCUUAAGUCCAUCUUAAAAGCGUGGGGCUCAACCCCAUGAGGGGAUGGAAACUGGGAAGCUGGAGUAUCGGAGAGGAAAGUGGAAUUCCUAGUGUAGCGGUGAAAUGCGUAGAGAUUAGGAAGAACACCGGUGGCGGAGGCGACUUUCUAGACGAAAACUGACGCUGAGGCGCGAAAGCGUGGGGAGCAAACAGGAUUAGAUACCCUGGUAGUCCACGCCGUAAACGAUGGAUACUAGGUGUAGGAGGUAUCGACCCCUCCUGUGCCGGA